rnacentral:rRNA from 1 species
CAGUCGCCACGGGAAUACGAGGGGGGCAAGCGUUGUUCGGAAUUACUGGGCGUAAAGCGCACGUAGGCGGCUUUGUAAGUUAGAGGUGAAAGCCUGGGGCUAAACUCCAGAAUUGCCUUUAAGACUGCAUCGCUUGAACGUCGGAGAGGUGAGUGGAAUUCCGAGUGUAGAGGUGAAAUUCGUAGAUAUUCGGAAGAACACCAGUGGCGAAGGCGGCUCACUGGACGACUGUUGACGCUGAGGUGCGAAAGCGUGGGGAGCAAACAGGAUUAGAUACCCCAGUAGUCCCUGUCUCUUAUAC